UACGUAGGGGACAAGCGUUGUCCGGAUUUACUGGGCGUAAAGGGCACGCAGGCGGUUUUUUAAGUCAGAUGUGAAAGGUACCGGCUCAACCGGUGACAUGCAUUUGAAACUGUUAGACUUGAGGGCAGGAGAGGGGAGUGGAAUUCCCGGUGUAGCGGUGAAAUGCGUAGAUAUUAGGAGGAACACCAGUGGCGAAGGCGGCUUACUGGACUAUUACUGACGCUGAGGUACGAAAGCGUGGGGAGCAAAC
rnacentral:rRNA from 1 species